GUGCCUAACACAUGCAAGUCGAACGCGAGGAUCCCGCAAGGGAUUAGUAGAGUGGCAAACGGGUGAGUAACACGUGGGUGACCUGCCUUCGAGCGGGGGAUAACAUCCCGAAAGGGAUGCUAAUACCGCAUGACAUCCUGCUUUUGAAUAAGUGGAGAUCAAAGCCGGGGAUCGCAAGACCUGGCACUCGAAGAGGGGCCCGCGCCCGAUUAGCUAGUUGGUGAGGUAACGGCUCACCAAGGCUUCGAUCGGUAGCCGGCCUGAGAGGGCGGACGGCCACACUGGGACUGAGACACGGCCCAG
rnacentral:rRNA from 1 species